UACGUAGGUGGCAAGCGUUGUCCGGAUUUAUUGGGCGUAAAGCGCGCGCAGGCGGUCUUUUAAGUCUGAUGUGAAAUCUUGCGGCUCAACCGCAAGCGGUCAUUGGAAACUGGGGGACUUGAGUACAGAAGAGGAAAGCGGAAUUCCACGUGUAGCGGUGAAAUGCGUAGAGAUGUGGAGGAACACCGGUGGCGAAGGCGGCUUCCUGGCCUGUUCUUGACGCUGAGGCGCGAAAGCUAGGGGAGCAAACGAG
rnacentral:rRNA from 1 species